rnacentral:rRNA from 1 species
CCUACGGGGGGCAGCAGUAGGGAAUCUUUCACAAUGGGCGAAAGCCUGAUGGAGCAACGCCGCGUGCAGGAUGAAGGCCUUCGGGUUGUAAACUGCUUUUAUCAGCGAGAAAUAUGAUGGUAACUUAUGAAUAAGGAUCGGCUAACUACGUUCCAGCAGCCGCGGUCAUACGUAGGAUCCGAGCAUUAUCCGGAGUGACUGGGUGUAAAGAGUUGCGUAGGUGGCAUAAUAAGUAGCUAGUGAAAUCUGGUGGCUCAACCAUUCAGACUAUUAGCUAAACUGUUAAGCUCGAGACCGUUAGGGGUAACUGGAAUUUCUAGUGUAGGAGUGAAAUCCGUAGAUAUUAGAAGGAACACCAAUAGCGUAGGCAGGUUGCUGGGACGGGUCUGACACUAAGGCACGAAAGCGUAGGGAGCAAACGGGAUUAGAUACCCUAGUAGUC